rnacentral:tRNA from 1 species
GGGCAUGUGGUGAAAUUGGUAUACACGCAAGAUUUAGGAUCUUGUGCUUAACAGCAUGCGGGUUCGAGUCCCGCCUUGCCCACCA